UACGGGGGGGGCAAGCGUUGCUCGGAAUUAUUGGGCGUAAAGGGUAGGUAGGUGGUCUCAUUUGUCAGGGGUGAAAGCCUUGGGCUUAACCCAAGAAGUGCCCCUGAAACGGUGAGACUAGAGUUCUGGAGAGGGUCGUGGAAUUCCCGGUGUAGCGGUGAAAUGCGUAGAGAUCGGGAGGAACACCAGAGGCGAAGGCGGCGACCUGGACAGAUACUGACACUCAACUACGAAAGCGUGGGGAGCAAACAGG
rnacentral:rRNA from 1 species